UACGUAGGUGGCAAGCGUUGUCCGGAAUUAUUGGGCGUAAAGCGCGCGCAGGCGGUUCCUUAAGUCUGAUGUGAAAGCCCACGGCUCAACCGUGGAGGGUCAUUGGAAACUGGGGAACUUGAGUGCAGGAGAGAAGUGUGGAAUUCCACGUGUAGCGGUGAAAUGCGUAGAGAUGUGGAGGAACACCAGUGGCGAAGGCGACUCUUUGGCCUGUAACUGACGCUGAGGCGCGAAAGCGUGGGGAGCAAACAGG
rnacentral:rRNA from 1 species